GUCAAUUUUAUAAGACAAAAAAUAAUUUUCAAUUUUUAAAUUCCACACCUACGAUGUCACACGUGACCAAUUUUAAGGAGUUACCAAAACCACAAAUCUUCUGAUUUUUUAACAAGGUUUUUUUAUUUUAAUUGUAUACAAAUUUACUGUUUAUACCCAAAAUUUGCUGAGCUUGCUGCUUAUAUUUGCGAUGCAGUGGAAACAAGUGUUGUUUUUUAAUGUCGCACGGGACAUUAAAAUAUAAGAUAAUAAGAGAGCAAAAACUUACAGUUAUUUGCAAUCGCAUGCUUUCUUAUGUAUUUUAUUUUGCUCUUUGUUUAUAAAGGUUUUACACAAUGCAAAAAAUUAUACAUGAUAUGUUUCUUUAACAAUUUUGACGAAAAAAACAAAUGCAGUGGAAAAAUCGAAAUGAGAAAAGUAGCUCAUAUUGGACUUGGCUUUGGUAUAUCUCGUAAUUGGUUAGUUCAUUUAAGAAUAGAUUAGAUAUAAGCCAUCAUAUAGACGAAUUUAAGCAGGAGGAAAUUUUACUAGAAUCGGUGAAUAUUAACAUGGUUUCUCAAUUUCCGUUAGAACCCAUGCAUUUAGUUGAUUUAGUGGUUACAAAAAAACUACUUCAGUUGCUUGUUAAGAGAGGGAACGUAACAAAAAUGAAUGAUAAAAUAUUAUAUAUUAACAACUACGUUCCCUCUGAGUUUUCCAGACGCAGUAGAGAUCUGGACGAAAUAAGCAACUGGAAGUCGACAGAAUUCCGUAAAUUUUUAUUAUACUCGGGUUUAUUUGUGUUAAAAGAUUGCAUACCGGGCGAUUUAUAUUAUCAUUUUCUUUUGCUACAAUCCGGUAUUCGACUUUUAAGUUGCGAAAAAUCUUGUAGAGUAGAAUCUAAUGUUGCUAACGAAAUGUUGAAAGAAUUUGUUAAGUUAUUUAGUAAUUUUUAUGGAGAGCAUUUAAUUAGUUUUAAUAUUCAUGGUCUUUUACAUUUAACUGAUUGCGUUAAAAAAUUCGGGCAUUUUGAUAAUUUUUCAGCAUAUAAAUUUUAAAAUCAUAUGCAAUAUAUAAAAAAAAACUAUUAGUAACCCCAAUAAGAUUUUGCAGCAAUUAUAUUUAAGAAUAGAGGAAAGAAGAAAUUUGACUGAUUCUAGCAAUAUUCCUCAAAUAGAUAAGUUUAUUAUUAAAAAUUGUCAACCAACAAAACCAACCAGAUACUUUUGGUUGUGUUGUUUUGACAAAAGUUGGUGAUGUUUUUAGAGAACCCUUAGUGUCCUCAUCUGGUUUAGGUAUUCUAGUAGGUCAAAUUAUAGAUGAGAACAUUCAAAUUAUUAGAACAAAUUUAUUUUAAUUCCUUUAUUGCAUAAUUUAUUUUAUAAUUUUAUGUAGAAAAUGGACUUUUCCUUCUUGGUUGAUGACGAAGAAGAUAAUGUUGAAGUACAACAGCGAGAUGGAGGGGAAAUGCCACGUUUUAGCAUUGCUCAAACAUACAGUGAGCGUAUGGCCACCCAACCCGCAGUUAGCAGCAGAGAAAACGCGGAUACUGCGAUGGUACUGCAACAAAUUUUGGAGACCCUUGGUAGGGUGGAAUCUCGGCUUGCCGCUGUUGAAAGUGCUCUUACUGAGAAGCUGAAGUUCAAGCUCAAGGGCAAUUAUUGCGGGAGUGUAAGGUGCUCACAGUAAAAACCCACCGCAGUGUAAGCCGCAUCACUGGCGACGUAGGGAGUGAGGAGCAAAUUUUGUUGCAGAGCUUGCCGCCUAUGUCGUCAGAGGAAACACUAGCGAAGGUGGGGAGCACCUUACACACAAGGCUCACGCUGACGCUAUGGCGGGCAUCAUAUUCAACUUAAAAUCUACCAAGGGUAUCAUUGGGAAAGUGUUGCAGUCACUGCUUAGCGACGAAUUGGUGUGGCUUUACAACUGUAAUGGGAAAGCAGGAAAGAAGGCGCUGAUCAAAUUAAAAAUUGUGGAGCUCACUCUCGGUAAAUAUAAAAACAUUUAAAUGCGUUCAAAUAUUUAAUUUUUAAUGUUUUAUGUUCAAAUAGCUGCAUUUGCAAGUAUGCAUGUUCAUAAAAUAUUAGCUGUCAAGCAUUAUGUUAGUUUAAGUCAUAAUAGACAUAAGCAAAUUAGGCGUAGUAUUAAGAAUUAGUAGUAGUAGAAGUAAUUUAAUUUUAGAUUUUUUUUCAAUUAAUAUUUUUCUAAUAACACUAACUGAAUUUAAAAAA